rnacentral:rRNA from 1 species
UACGUAGGGUGCAAGCGUUGUCCGGAAUUAUUGGGCGUAAAGAGCUCGUAGGCGGUCUGUCGCGUCUGCUGUGAAAACUCAGGGCUUAACCCUGAGCUUGCAGUGGGUACGGGCAGACUAGAGUUCGGUAGGGGAGACUGGAAUUCCUGGUGUAGCGGUGAAAUGCGCAGAUAUCAGGAGGAACACCGGUGGCGAAGGCGGGUCUCUGGGCCGAUACUGACGCUGAGGAGCGAAAGCGUGGGGGAGCGAACAGG